rnacentral:rRNA from 1 species
CCUACGGGAGGCAGCAGUGGGGAAUUUUGGACAAUGGGCGAAAGCCUGAUCCAGCAAUGCCGCGUGAGUGAAGAAGGCCUUCGGGUUGUAAAGCUCUUUUGUCAGGGAAGAAACGGUGCGGGCUAAUAUCCUGCACUAAUGACGGUACCUGAAGAAUAAGCACCGGCUAACUACGUGCCAGCAGCCGCGGUAAUACGUAGGGUGCAAGCGUUAAUCGGAAUUACUGGGCGUAAAGCGUGCGCAGGCGGUUUUGUAAGUUUGUCGUGAAAUCCCCGGGCUCAACCUGGGAAUUGCGAUGAAGACUGCAAGGCUAGAAUCUGGCAGAGGGGGGUAGAAUUCCACGUGUAGCAGUGAAAUGCGUAGAGAUGUGGAGGAACACCGAUGGCGAAGGCAGCCCCCUGGGUCAAGAUUGACGCUCAUGCACGAAAGCGUGGGGAGCAAACAGGAUUAGAUACCCUGGUAGUCCACGCCCUAAACGAUGUCUACUAGUUGUCGGGUUUUAAUUAACUUGGUAACGCAGCUAACGCGUGAAGUAGACCGCCUGGGGAGUACGGUCGCAAGNUUAAAAACUUAAAGGAAAUUGACGG